rnacentral:misc_RNA from 1 species
GAUGAAGAACGCAGCAAAAUGCGAUAAGUAAUGUGAAUUGCAGAAUUCAGUGAAUCAUCGAAUCUUUGAACGCACAUUGCGCCCGCUGGUAUUCCGGCGGGCAUGCCUGUUCGAGCGUCAUUUCAACCCUCAAGCCCCCGGGUUUGGUGUUGGGGAUCGGCUCUGCCCUUCUGGGCGGUGCCGCCCCCGAAAUACAUUGGCGGUCUCGCUGCAGCCUCCAUUGCGUAGUAGCUAACACCUCGCAACUGGAACGCGGCGCGGCCAUGCCGUAAAACCCCAACUUCUGAAUGUUGACCUCGGAUCAGGUAGGAAUACCCGCUGAACUUAAGCAUAGCAAUAAGCGGAGGA